rnacentral:rRNA from 1 species
AUGAUGCCUAGUCCUUCUUACAAAGAUGAGCAGGGAAUUCAAGACAUUAGGCGGUUCGUGGGAAGAGUUUUCUCAACAGGGAUCAUCAAAAUAAGAAACCGUUCACACGACUCUCGCCUCGCCCGCACGACUCCCCCGCGCCGUUCCUCCUCCCGCAGCCGGGCGCGGGCCGCAGGUCGCGAGCCGCCGCCGGAGCCUCCCUUCGCCGCGGGCCGCGGUCGCCGCCGCACCCUUCGCCGCAGUUCACCGCCCGAGCCGCCGCGCCCUUCGCCGCAGUUCACCGCCCGAGCCGCCGCGCCCUUCGCCGCGGGCCACAGGCCGCCGGAGCCGCCCUUCGCCGCGGGCCGCGAUCGCCGCCGCGCCCUUCGCCACCGCGCCCUCCGCUUCUAUUUCACGCUCGCCGACGGGCCAACCACCACCGCCACGGGAAGCCCCGAUGAGAUCGCCAAGCUGUUCCCCAACUUGUACGGCCAGCCUUCGGCCGAGCCGGCCGCAAUGAAGUUGCUCAAGAUCAGUCGUCGUGCUUUCUGGGGAGGCCCGGCUGGUGUCAUGAAGGGAACACAAGAGCUCUACCCCAGCAUGGCUUCCCCAUCUCUGGUCGUCCUCUUGCAUUCCUCCAUUGGUGGCUGGGAAGAUGGGCCACCACCGAAGCCGCUCCCAGUAAUCGCCAAACUGUACCUGCUAGAUUAA